UGGGGAAUAUUGCACAAUGGGCGCAAGCCUGAUGCAGCCAUGCCGCGUGUAUGAAGAAGGCCUUCGGGUUGUAAAGUACUUUCAGCGGGGAGGAAGGGAGUAAAGUUAAUACCUUUACUCAUUGACGUUACCCGCAGAAGAAGCACCGGCUAACUCCGUGCCAGCAGCCGCGGUAAUACGGAGGGUGCAAGCAUUAAUCGGAAUUACUGGGCGUAAAGCGCACGCAGGCGGUUUGUUAAGUCAGAUGUGAAAUCCCCGGGCUCAACCUGGGAACUGCAUCUGAUACUGGCAAGCUUGAGUCUCGUAGAGGGGGGUAGAAUUCCAGGUGUAGCGGUGAAAUGCGUAGAGAUCUGGAGGAAUACCGGUGGCGAAGGCUGCCCCCUGGACGAAGACUGACGCUCAGGUGCGAAAGCGUGGGGAGCAAACAGG
rnacentral:rRNA from 1 species